rnacentral:rRNA from 1 species
CGGAGCUACCUGGUGACAGGAUGCGAAUCUCGAAAGCCGGUCUCAUUCGGAUUGCAGGCUGGAACUCGCCUGCAUGAAGUUGGAUUCGCUAGUAAUCGCGCAUCAGCCAUGGCGCGGUGAAUACGUUCCCGGGCCUUGUACACACCGCCCGUCAAGCCAUGGGAGCCGGGGGUGCUUGAAGUGCGUCGCCGCAAGGCGCGCCCUAGAGCAAAACCGGUGACUGGGGCUAAGUCGUAACAAGGUAGC